rnacentral:rRNA from 1 species
GACGAACGCUGGCGGCGUGCCUAAUACAUGCAAGUAGGACGCAGUUGCGAACGGGUGAGUAACGCGUAGGUAACUACCUAUUAGAAGGGGAUAACUACUGUAAACGAUAGCUAAUACCGCAUACAAAUAGAUGUACCUUCGUUGUAUUAGAUAGUAGGUAGGGGAAUGGCCUACCUAGGCAACGAUACAUAGCCGAGCUGGGAGGGUGAUCGGCCACAAUGGGACCGGGACAAGGCCCAGACUCCUACGGGAGGCAGGCGUAGGGAAUCGUCGGCAAUGGGGGGAAACCUGACCGAGCAACGCCGCGGGAGUGAAGAAGGUUUUCGGAUCGUAAAGCUCUGUUGUUAAGGAAGCGGUACUUAAACAGAAAGGGACGGCUAACUACGUGCCAGCAGCCGCGGUAAUUC